GUUUGAUGUGAAAUCCCCGGGCUUAACCUGGGAAUGGCGUCGAAAACUGGUUGACUAGAGUGAGAGAGAGGGUUGUGGAAUUUCCGGUGUAGCGGUGAAAUGCGUAGAUAUCGGAAAGAACAUCAGUGGCGAAGGCGACAACCUGGCUCUUAACUGACACUGAGGCGCGAAAGCGUGGGGAGCAAACAGGAUUAGAUACCCUGGUAGUCCACGCCGUAAACGAUGAGAACUGGCUGUGAGGCGU
rnacentral:rRNA from 1 species